rnacentral:rRNA from 1 species
CAAGUCGAACGCGAAAGCCCCUUCGGGGGCAAGUAGAGUGGCGCACGGGUGAGUAACACGUAGGUAAUCUACCUUUGGAUUGGGAAUAACCACCGGAAACGGUGGCUAAUACCGAAUAAUGCAGCGGCACCUAAUGGUGACAGUUGUUAAAGCGGGGGAUCGCAAGACCUCGCGUCUGAAGAGGAGCCUGCGGCAGAUUAGCUAGUUGGUAAGGUAACGGCUUACCAAGGCGAUGAUCUGUAGCCGGCCUGAGAGGGCGGUCGGCCACACUGACACUGACAUACGGGUCAGACUCCUACGGGAGGCAGCAGUCGGGAAUUUUGGGCAAUGGGCGAAAGCCUGACCCAGCAACGCCGCGUGAAGGAUGAAAUCCCUCGGGAUGUAAACUUCGCAAGAACGGGAAGAAUAAACCGGUGCAAAUACCACCGGUGAUGACGGUACUGUUUGUAAGCUCCGGCUAACUCCGUGCCAGCAGCCGCGGUAAUACGGGGGGAGCAAGCGUUGUUCGGAUUUACUGGGCGUAAAGGGCGCGUAGGCGGCACCGCAAGUCGACUGUGAAAUCUCCGGGCUUAACCCGGAAAGGUCAGCCGAUACUGCGGGGCUAGAGUGCAGAAGGGGCAACUGGAAUUCUCGGUGCAGCGGUGAAAUGCGUAGAUAUCGAGAGGAACACCUGCGGCGAAGGCGGGUUGCUGGGCUGACACUGACGCUGAUGCGCGAAAGCUAGGGGAGCGAACGGGAUUAGAUACCCCGGUAGUCCUAGCCUUAAACGAUGAAUGCUUGGUGUCUGGGGUUUUAUAGUCCCCGGGUGCCGUCGCUAACGCUUUAAGCAUUCCGCCUGGGGAGUACGGUCGCAAGACUGAAACUCAAAGGAAUUGACGGGGACCCGCACAAGCGGUGGA